CAACUACUCCCUUCAUCUGGAAAUACUUGUCAUAAAAAUGGAUGUAUCUAGAUGUAUUAGUUCUAGAUACAUCCAUUUUUUUAUUUGUUUGACAAUUAAUUCCGGACGGAGGGAGUAUUUA
rnacentral:pre_miRNA from 1 species